rnacentral:rRNA from 1 species
UACGUAGGGGGCGAGCGUUGUCCGGAGUUACUGGGCGUAAAGCGCACGUAGGCGGUUCGUUAUGUCGGAUGUGAAAGCCCUUGGCUUAACCGAAGAAGUGCAUCCGAAACUGGCGAGCUAGAGUACUAAAGAGGAUCGCGGAAUUCCCGGUGUAGAGGUGAAAUUCGUAGAUAUCGGGAGGAACACCGGUGGCGAAGGCGGCGAUCUGGGUAGAUACUGACGCUGAGGUGCGAAAGCGUGGGGAGCAAACAGG